rnacentral:rRNA from 1 species
GUUGUGUGCUGGCGUAGAGCGGCGGUAAAACGUAGGAGGCAAUCGGUAUCCGGAUUUACUGGGCGUAAAGCGCACGGAGGCGGGUAUGUAAGGCGGACGUGGAAGCUCCUAGCUCAACUGGGAGAGGUCGUUCGAAACUGCAUAGCUUGAGGUUGGAAGAGGAGAGCGGAACUCCCGGUGUAGUGGUGUAAUGCGUAGAUAUCGGGAAGAACACCAGUGGCGAAGGCGGCUCUCUGGUCCAAAUCUGACGCUCAUGUGCGAAAGCGUGGGUAGCGAACGGGAUUAGAUACCCGUGUAGUC